GUGUAGUCCUGCAGUCUUGUGAUGAUGGAAUGAAGCAUGGAUUAGCGGAGUGAAUGAGAUCUUCCCCUGGCGAUGACUGAUCUGGCGGUGGCUCGGAUGAGCGCUGGAGACGAAGCGCUUCCUUCGCAGUUCCAACCUGUGUUGCUCUCGCUGCCGGAGAUCACAUGACCAGGCUGCUCGUGACAUACACACUCAUGCUGUGUGAACAUCGAUGGGACAUUUUUUUUUUUGUCAGGUCUUAAGCCAAUCAGGUGACAAGUUGGGGUCAAGCAAGACAAACCAAACAAACAUGGAGGCAUGUGGGAGAAAACUGGGACGAUUUCUU